GGGCAUAUGGUGUAGUUGGUUUAUCACGCUCGCUUAGCAUAACCCACAGGAGUUGUCUGCGAGAGGUGUCCGGUUCAAUUCCGGAUAUGUCCA